UACAGAGGUCUCAAGCGUUUGUUCGGAUUCAUUGGGGCGUAAAGGGUGCGUAGGUGGUGGGGUAAGUCGGAUGUGAAAUCCCGGGCGUCAACCCGGAACUGCAUUCGAAACUGCCUUGCUCGAGUACUGGAGAGGAGACUGGAAUUUACGGUGUAGCAGUGAAAUGCGUAGAUAUCGUAAGGAAGACCAGUGGCGAAGGCGAGUCUCUGGACAGUUACUGACACUGAGGCACGAAGGCCAGGGGAGCAAACGGG
rnacentral:rRNA from 1 species